AUUCUGUGUCUCCCUCUGUCUGCCCCUCCCCCACUCUGUCUUUCUCUCUCAAAAAUAAACGUUAGAAAAAAAAGAGAAAACCAACUCUUCUUGUUGGUUUUAAGUGCCUAGGGAAAUGAGAAAAUUAGUAGACCCAAUAUUUUAUUUGUUAUACUGUAAUUUGAAUCGUUAGAAACAUUGAGAAUUAAAUGUUUGAGUUUGGGGGUUUUUGUUUUGUUUUGUUUUUGUAUAAAACUUAAUCGAGGGUAGUUUGAACAGUGCUUACCUUCCUGUCUGUCAUAUAACUUAUUGUACAGAGUGAGCAUUUUUUCCAUGCCUUGGGAAAUUGUCAUACUCCUUUCCAGAUUUGUAUCAGCUUUCUGUAUUUUAUUCUUUGCACUUCCGAUGUCAUGAAAUAUCUUUGAGAUGACAGAUGAUUUUUUUUUUUCCAUGUCUCUUCCCUUGGAACAUCUUCAUUCUUUCCUGCACAGCUACUCUCUGCAGUUAUGUUCAUAAAUUUACCCUUACUAAAUUCUUCUGGCUGCAUAUCCAGAGCAGAAUAGUGACAUAGUGACAAUGUCAUCCCACAGCCAACUGUUUCUUCUCUAUCUCCAUUUACCUUUGACUUGAACUUCCCUCUCACCACUAUUGCUUUUUGUUUCCUUGCUACACUAUUAUCUUUGUUGGCAAUUCGAUUAUCCUUUUUUUUUUUUUUUUUUUUUUUGUAAAUAUCACAGGUGUUUACCACUGGGAAUGAAGGAGACAACAUGACCACAUGCUUUGUCGUCUGUGCAUAAACUGAAUAACAAAUUCCAGUCAUCUAUUGACUGGCUGACUGACAGAGAAGUGACACGGUUGGUCACAGAUCAUGAUUUGGAUCUGUUACUUGCAUAGUCAUUUCAUGGACUAAAAAGCUAGCAGCAAAAUUUGUACUUAGGCAAGUACUCACAGUUAAUGUACUCGGGUAACAGAUUUGAACGGUGAACUGUAUUGUUGAGGGCCUGAUGUAGGAAACCAAAUGAUUGAUACUUGAAAUUUGUGCUGUCGCCAUGCAAAGCAAGGGCUAUGCUGCACGUAGGUGGCGUGUGACAUGUAGUAAGCACUUAGUACAUAGUAGAUUGUUUUACUUGCAUCAUCUUUGUCAUUUUCGUUAUAUUACUACUGCUUUUACUGUUCGUUCUGAGCUGCAGGCCACUGAGGAGUCAGCCAGGGAGAGAGGGGCUGGUGCCGGGAGGUGGCAGACGGCUCUGUGUUCUCAGCCAAGAGUGUAAAUGGCCACGUCCAAAGGAUACCUUAAUCUCGACUGAGGACUCGGGCCAAGGGCUUAUUGGCAGAGGUCUGGGGAGGAGUUCUGGGGAGUGCCAGUAGGUGGGCAGGACUCAGCAGAGAGGCAGGGCAGGCACUGCUCCUGAGAUGAGAGAAGCAGAUGGUGUCUGAGAGGUCUGUUCACAGAUCGCAGGGCUCCAGCCAUGGGUCUUGGCUAGGGCUGUGGCCAAGGCAUGGGAAGGGCAGCUGGCAAGAGCAAGGCAGGGCUCUAGGCCAGGUAGUGCCCACACCAGUUACCGGAACAGGCAACUGGUGCGCGAGUCGAGGAAGAAAAGCACUCCUCUUGUGCGAAAGAGGGCGGAAGAGGCCCAUUGCAGGUGCAGUGGCUGUAGCUUGAUAACAGAGAAGAGCCCAGAGUGCCUCCUCUUGGGACAAGAAGAUGACCCAUCAUUGAGCCCCAUCAGGAAAAAGUGAGGGAGCCGAGGCUCCUUUAGUUCUAGUUCCUGCCCCACGUGGGUGAUCUUGGAGCCCAGCCCUGGGAGACAGAGGCAAUAACAGAGGCUCUCAGCCUGACCCAAUGUAGUGAUUCAUUGCUGCUAUAGAUUGCUUCUUCCUUUCCUUCUAGUCCUUCUAUCAGCCUUAACAGAUUUUAUCUAAGACCUUAUCUACCAAGUAGUACACUCAGUCAAGGCAGGCCCUUUGGGUAAGAAGGAAUGACGAACAUUUGACUCUCAACUAAUACAAAGUAAACACGGAGUGAAAAUGACUCAGAUGUACUUUGUAUCAACUAAUGAUACCACAAAUGUAAGAUGCAUACAAAUCACACAGGACUGCUUGUGGGCAUAUAACUGAAACCGGACCAAAGUGACGUACCCACAUGAUGGUUUAUUUUCCUCAUACGGUUAGAUGUUUCAGAGUACUUCGUUCACAGCUGCUGUGGUGACUCCCGGUGCCAUCGGGGACUUAAGCUCCUCCUGUGCUCUUGCUCUGCCCUCCUUAACAUGUGCAGGGCUGCUGAAUCCUACAACAUCAGGGGAACCUGCCCACGUUGGGCAAGGAUAUCUUCCAUUUGCUUCUAUGUACCUACGCUCCACAAUUCUUCAACUUGUUUAGUGUCCUGAGAGGCUGACUUAAAGGCAAUAUGUCACUGGAGCUCCCCUGCCCUCUGAUUUCCAGUAGAGUUUGGCCAGUGGGGGGCACCACCAACAGGAGAUUGUAAACUUGGGGUAAUUAGCCUUCUAGUCGCUUUCCUGUGAUCAGUGCAGGCUGCUCCUUUUCCAGUCCUGGAACCCCCUCCUUCCCUUGCCCUCCAGAGUUACAGGUGGUCAUAGCUCCCUAACUGCACCCUUUCUUAACCUGUGUUUCCUUAAUACCGACCUUUCCAAAUAAUGCCCUUUUUUCAGAGUCUCCACCAUUAGUUUGGAGAGAGCCAUCUGUGUCCUGCCAGUGCUGGAAGCCGAGCUCCCCAGCCUGAGUGGCAGGGCCCGGGCUGUGGACGGAUCGGUGACUGCAGGGUCACCACCCACAGUGAAGCUUCUUGUACUCCUGCUUUUAGAGCUUCGAGAUGGCCACUCCACCUCCGGGCAUCCAGGUUGGACUUCAGACAAGAAGAAAUGGCAAAAGGCACUAAACAGCUCUUUGCCAGGAAAACGGUAGCUUUUUAGGAAGUCACAGACAGCAAACUUCCUUCUGCUCACCUGCCAUUCUAGCUGCAGGAUGUCUGGGGAGGCAUUUUGUCAUCUCACAUCAGCACAAGAGGAAGGGCAUCCACUGUGGGCCUGGGGACAGACUCCCCGAAGAUAAGGGGGGACGGCCGUGAUAACUUCCGUGUGUUGAGCCCUCGCUGAGCCCUUUACGAGCAUGACGUCUUUUAACCCUCAUGGGAGUCCUUGGAGGCUUCAGGAAAUUGAAGGUGAGAUUUUGAGUAAUGUGUUCAGUAUAAAGUCUGAGCUAAUAGUUGGGUCUGUCUGUCUGUCCCCACAGCCCAUACUGGUAGCCACUGUACUUAUCAGAGUAUCCCUUAAAACCUGUAUCUCUUUCUGGUCUCAUUUCUUCUCCUAGCGAAGCAUCUGUGCACACAGUGUGGAAAUCAAGGUCAUAGGUAGUAAGCCUCUUGCAUCCUUAGAACAUGGCCCACUGGAAAUAAAGGAGACUGAUUCCAAAGUUGGAGACAGUAAAGUGUCAGAGAGAAAGGGUACGAAGAACAAUCAGAGAGAUUUGGGUCCAUAUGGAAGUUAAUAUGAGGAACAAACAGAGCCUAUGAAAACAACAUAAUUAUUAUUUCAAUUGUGAGUCUCCCUCUGGGCUACUUUGGUUGUCAUACUCUCCGAACCUGCUUAUUCACCAGCUCUCACACUGUGGCAGGCAUUCUGCUAAGUGGAUCAGAGGUACAAAAGGGGGAGAAAACCUCGUCUUUGGAGGAAACUGGGAGGGGCAGGAGUCAGUUUGGAGGGCUUUCCACCACGAUGCCGUGGGACACGUCUGAUGGACUGUCCUGCUGCUCCUAAUGGCACAUGAUUUUGGAAGGGCAGGGGGAAGCCCUGAGCCAGGAAAUACGUUUUCCCGAGUGAGAGCCAGGAGGACUGGAGCAGGAGUGCUUGACGGCAGUACUCUGUGCUGCCACGGAACCUUCUCACUCCCCCCAGGUGAACCGUGCAUCCAAUGUAUCUGCCACAACCAGAGACGAAUACGUCACAACCAUGUCUGUUAGCUAAAACACUGAGUAAAGUUGUCCCAUAAAAUAGAGUACAUCUCCUUGAAGUGAAAAGAGGAAUAGCAUAAUGUCAAGCCUGCUUCAGAGAAAAAUGACACACUUCCUGGAUUGUGUGAGGGCUUCAGGAUAGGAGGAUGUAAGGGAACACCACCAGGGCAGCAGAUAAUUCCCUACUCCCUACGAACAGUGAUGGUGCCAGGUAAGUGGAGAAUGCGAAAACAGUGGAUGUGGUUUAACCCUUCGAGUUGCAGCCACAAAUCCUAGUACAGCAAAACCUUGGUUUGCAAGCACAAUUCGUUCCAGAAACAUGCUUGUAAUCCAAAGCAUUUGUAUGUCAAAGCGAAUUUCCCCCAUAAGAAAUCAUGGAAACGCAGAUGAUUCGUUCCAUGACCCAAAAACAUUCAUAUAGAAAUGAUUGCAAUACUGUAAUAUGAUACAAAAAAUAAAGAAAAUACAAAAUAUAAAGACAAAGGAACAAAUUAACCUGCA